rnacentral:rRNA from 1 species
UAUUAGCGGAUGCUUACACAUGCAAGUCGACGGAAUCUUCGGAUUUAGUGGCGGACGGGUGAGUAACGCGUGAGAAUCUAGCUCUAGGUCGGGGACAACCACUGGAAACGGUGGCUAAUACCGGAUGUGCCGAAAGGUGAAAGAUUUAUUGCCUAGAGAUGAGCUCGCGUCUGAUUAGCUAGUUGGUGUGGUAAGAGCGCACCAAGGCGACGAUCAGUAGCUGGUCUGAGAGGAUGAUCAGCCACACUGGGACUGAGACACGGCCCAGACUCCUACGGGAGGCAGCAGUGGGGAAUUUUCCGCAAUGGGCGAAAGCCUGACGGAGCAAUACCGCGUGAGGGAGGAAGGCUCUUGGGUUGUAAACCUCUUUUCUCAGGGAAUAAGAAAGUGAAGGUACCUGAGGAAUAAGCAUCGGCUAACUCCGUGCCAGCAGCCGCGGUAAUACGGAGGAUGCAAGCGUUAUCCGGAAUGAUUGGGCGUAAAGCGUCCGCAGGUGGCACUGUAAGUCUGCUGUUAAAGAGCAAGGCUCAACCUUGUAAAGGCAGUGGAAACUACAGAGCUAGAGUACGUUCGGGGCAGAGGGAAUUCCUGGUGUAGCGGUGAAAUGCGUAGAAAUA